rnacentral:rRNA from 1 species
UGCAGAAUCCCGUGAACCAUCGAGUUUUUGAACGCAAGUUGCGCCCGAAGCCAUCCGGCUGAGGGCACGCCUGCCUGGGCGUCACGC